CCUACGGGAGGCAGCAGUGAGGAAUAUUGGUCAAUGGGCGGGAGCCUGAACCAGCCAAGUCGCGUGAGGGAAGACGGUCCUAUGGAUUGUAAACCUCUUUAGGCGGGGAGCAAUGCCGGGCACGUGUGCCCGGAGGGAGAGUACCCGCAGAAUAAGCAUCGGCUAACUACGUGCCAGCAGCCGCGGUAAUACGGAGGAUGCGAGCGUUAUCCGGAUUUAUUGGGUUUAAAGGGUGCGUGGGCGGAUUUUUAAGUCAGCGGUGAAAUGUCCGGGCUCAACCCGGGGCCGGCCGUUGAACUUGGGGUUCUAGAGUGGGGGAGAGGUAGGCGGAAGGCGGGGUGUAGCGGUGAAAUGCAUAGAUAUCAGGAAGAACUCCGGUGGCGAAGGCGGAAUGCCGG
rnacentral:rRNA from 1 species